GAGCGCAACCCUUGUCUUUAGUUGCCAUCAUUAAGUUGGGCACUCUAGAGAGACUGCCAGGGAUAACCUGGAGGAAGGUGGGGAUGACGUCAAAUCAUCAUGCCCCUUAUGCUUAGGGCUACACACGGGCUACAAUGGGUAGUACAGAGGGUUGCCAAGCCGUAAGGCGGAGCUAAUCCCUUAAAGCUACUCUCAGUUCGGAUUGUAGGCUGAAACUCGCCUACAUGAAGCUGGAGUUACUAGUAAUCGCAGAUC
rnacentral:rRNA from 1 species